rnacentral:rRNA from 1 species
AUUGAACGCUGGCGGCAGGCCUAACACAUGCAAGUCGAACGAGUGGCGGACGGGUGAGUAAUGUCUGGGAAACUGCCUGAUGGAGGGGGAUAACUACUGGAAACGGUAGCUAAUACCGCAUACCAUCAGAUGUGCCCCGAUGGGGUUAGCUUGUUGGUGAGGUAACGGCUCACCAAGGCGACGCUCCCUAGCUGGUCUGAGAGGAGGACCAGCCACACGGGGACUUAGACACGGUCCAGACUCCUACGGGAGGCAGCAGUGGGGAAUAUUGCACAAUGGGCGCAAGCCUGAUGCAGCCAUGCAGCGGGUAUGAAGAAGGCCUUCGGGUUGUAAAGUACUUUCAGCGGGGAGGCGGUACCCACAGAAGAAGCACCGGCUAACUCCGUGCCAGCAGCCGCGGUAAUAC